rnacentral:rRNA from 1 species
UACGGAGGGGGCGAGCGUUGUUCGGAAUUACUGGGCGUAAAGCGCGCGUAGGCGGUCUCGUAAGUCAGAUGUGAAAUCCCUCAGCUCAACUGAGGAACUGCGUCUGAUACUGCGAGGCUUGAGUCCGGUAGGGGAUGGCAGAAUUCCCGGUGUAGCGGUGGAAUGCGUAGAUAUCGGGAGGAAUACCGAUGGCGAAGGCGGCCAUCUGGGCCGGAACUGACGCUGAGGCGCGAAAGCUAGGGGAG